rnacentral:lncRNA from 1 species
GUCAACACCAUUAGAUUCAAAAUAAAGUCAAUAGACAAUUGAGAAAGCAACACAAUAACAUCUAAAAUGAACAAAGCUUUAGAUAUUCGACAGUACAAGAAAAUGAUAAAGGAACACAAGUUCUUCGAGUUCUCCAGUAUCUAAUCUAAUCAAUCUAAGGGGGGAAACACAAACUCUUCCAUAUUCAAAGGUCUUGGACGCUCAAACGUGGAGGAAGUGACUGCUUCAGCUUGUCAGCCUUCUCAAAGUCGGACACACAGAGUGUGUACAGGUACUUGGAGCAGCGAACCUUGAACUUAACCAUAUCCUUGUUCUUCUUGAUCUUUACAGUUGGGACAUCUAAUCAAUCUAAGGGGGGAAACACAAACUCUUCCAUAUUCAAAGGUCUUGGACGCUCAAACGUGGAGGAAGUGACUGCUUCAGCUUGUCAGCCUUCUCAAAGUCGGACACACAGAGUGUGUACAGGUACUUGGAGCAGCGAACCUUGAACUUAACCAUAUCCUUGUUCUUCUUGAUCUUUACAGUU